CAGAGCGAACGCUGGCGGCAUGCUAACACAUGCAAGUCGCACGGUCAGCAAUGGCAGUGGCGGACGGGUGAGUAACACGUAGGAAUCUAUCCCGGGGUGGGGGACAACAGUGGGAAACUGCUGCUAAUACCGCAUGAUACCUGAGGGUCAAAGGCGCAAGUCGCCUUGGGAGGAGCCUGCGUCUGAUUAGCUUGUUGGUGGGGUAAAGGCCUACCAAGGCUACGAUCAGUAGCUGGUCUGAGAGGAUGAUCAGCCACAUUGGGACUGAGACACGGCCCAAACUCCUACGGGAGGCAGCAGUGGGGAAUAUUGGACAAUGGGGGCAACCCUGAUCCAAGCAAUGCCGCGUGUGUGAAGAAGGUCUUCGGAUUGUAAAGCACUUUUGGCAGGGACGAUGAUGACGGUACCUGCAGAAUAAGCCCCGGCUAACUUCGUGCCAGCCGCGGC
rnacentral:rRNA from 1 species